UACGAAGGGGGCUAGCGUUGUUCGGAAUCACUGGGCGUAAAGGGCGCGUAGGCGGCGCGACAAGUCAGGCGUGAAAGCCCCGGGCUCAACCCGGGAAUUGCGCUUGAUACUGACGGUCUCGAGUCCGGGAGAGGUGAGUGGAACUGCGAGUGUAGAGGUGAAAUUCGUAGAUAUUCGCAAGAACACCAGUGGCGAAGGCGGCUCACUGGCCCGGUACUGACGCUGAGGUGCGAAAGCGUGGGGAGCAAACAGG
rnacentral:rRNA from 1 species